GCGGGAAUAGCAAAGAUGGUUUAUGCGCCGGACUGAAAAUCCGAAGAUCCUGGAUCGUUACCAGGUUCCCGCA
rnacentral:tRNA from 1 species